UCUUCAUUCUCCACUUUAUCAGCUGCGCUCACUUCCUGUCUUCCUCCACGGCUGACUCCCAUCUAUCACUGGACAAAAAAUCAUUUACUGAGAAAAAGGGAACCAGAAGGAGCACAUACGCAGAUGAUUCCUGCUUAUUACUCAAUUUACAUACCCGAAGCAACUCCCUUCUUAAGUCUCACCCAGAGAUUUCGAGGUGUCCCUGGGGGGUCUCACUCCACUUCAGCCACAGCCCAGCCUCUCAAGGCUUUUCAGCUGGGGAUCGCCUUGCUCCUGCUCAAAGCUCAGGACUCCUCUCGAGGAAGGUUGUUCUUGCUGCUGCCGCCAGGCUCUCCUCGGACCCCACCGGGGCUGCUCUGAAGGCGCUGUUCCCAGGGGAUCCCUCGCAGAACUUGCGAGGCCAGAACAAAGCUCCGUCCAGGGCAGCGCCAGGCAGCGUCCACACAGCAGCGGGAGAAUGCCUCGUGCUGAGGCUCGCUUCCUGCAGCGUCAGCCUGUAUCUCUUCGGAAAUAGCAUCAGACUCUCCCUGCAGCCCCUCUCCUGGCCCGAUCCACGGGUUGGCACAGACACAGACCUCAUCCCUGCCUUGGCACAAGGGGAAGAAUGUAAAUUGGCUCCAAACAGAAAAAUCUGCCUCUUGGAAUCGAGUUCCUUGCCCGAAGAAGUUUUAAAGUGGGAUUAAGGUGGCCGGUGCUUAUGAGUGUGGUGGGCCCUGGUUGCACAUCUCCCUGGUUUUUUUGGGGUUUUUUUUUUUUGGUGGGAGCAUCACCCUUUUUGGAUUGUUCAAGAUGCACGCGGAAAUUCAAACAAUUAAGCAGUGAGACAUUUAAACAGUGUUGGAUUAAACCAUUACAAUUCAAACAACAUGGAGAUUCAGUCUUGCUCCGCAUCCCCCGCGCCCUUGCUCACAGAACUUUGAAGACUUUUCUCUACCGCCAUCUAGAAUUUAAGGGCCACUGAAAAGGAAGCAGCAGUCCUAAGCCCAGCUGCUGGCUUGAGCCCCAGCUCCUGCCACCUGCUAGCUGCAGCCGUGGACAUAAGAACCCAACCGGAAGGAGCAGCUGUCCGGUUUUGCUGUCCAGUGGGGAAGAUGCAGAGAAACGGACACCCGGAGAAGAAGAAAAGAAAGGAGAAAAACACUGAACCUCGGAAGAAACAAUCUGGUCUGAAUCUGUUGCGCAACGUAAAGGGUUUAACAUUGCCAGAAAACGGGUUGCUGAGGAUUUGAACCUGUCGCUACGGAAGCAAGGCCUGAUGAAAAGGACUGAACGUCUGCAGGAGCUUUUCCUACCUUUCCAAAGCAAAAGGAAGAAGGUGCACAGAUGGGGAGCAUUUUGGGCUCUGGCAGAUGAGGCAGGGGUGCAUGAGACGCUGGGUGCCUGAGGGCCCCCGGUGCUGGGCUCCGGAUGCAAAACCCCAGCCAGGCGCAGCUGACGCGGCCGCAGGAGCUACGGGUUCUGAUGGGCUUUUCUUAACCUCAGGAGCUUUGUGGACAGAAACAAGCCAGCAGAGGUUUCGGGCUAACGGACAAACGACUCCUUUCAUAUGCGGGGUCUAAAUGUGUGACCUGGAUUCGGGGUGCAAGUUCAGAAUGCCCUCCGGAGCCAGGCAGAAGCUGAAUGCCACUUGAAUCCUGCUCGUGUUGCCACAAGGGAACGGGA